rnacentral:rRNA from 1 species
GGAGCGCUAGAGGGCGACAGGGGUAGAGGGAAUUCCCAGUGUAGCGGUGAAAUGCGUAGAGAUUGGGAAGAACACCGGUGGCGAAAGCGCUCUACUGGGUCGCACCUGACCCUCAGGGACGAAAGCUAAGGUAGCGAAAGGGAUUAGAUACCCCUGUAGUCUUAGCCGUAAACGAUGGAUACUAGGCGUGGUUUGUAUCGACCCAAGCCGUGCCGAAGCUAACGCGUUAAGUAUCCCGCCUGGGGAGUACGCACGCAAGUGUGAAACUCAAAGGAAUUGACGGGGGCCCGCACAAGCGGUGGAGGAUGUGGUUUAAUUCGAUGCAACGCGAAGAACCUUACCAGGGCUUGACAUCCCGCGAAUCUUGCUGAAAGGCGAGAGUGCCUUCGGGAGCGCGGAGACAGGUGGUGCAUGGCUGUCGUCAGCUCGUGUCGUGAGAUGUUGGGUUAAGUCCCGCAACGAGCGCAACCCUCGUCCUUAGUUGCCAGCAUUAAGUUGGGCACUCUAGGGAGACUGCCGGUGACAAACCGGAGGAAGGUGAGGAUGACGUCAAGUCAGCAUGCCCCUUAUGCUCUGGGCAACACACGUCCUACAAUGGUCGGGACAAAGGGGAGCAAGCUCGCGAGAGUAAGCGAAUCCCAGCAAACUCGGCCUCAGUUCAGAUUGCAGGCUGCAACUCGCCUGCAUGAAGGAGGAAUCGCUAGUAAUCGCAGGUCAGCAUACUGCGGUGAAUUCGUUCCCGGGCAUUGUACACACCGCCCGUCACACCAUGGAAGCUGGCCAAGCCCGAAGUCGUUACCCUAACCGUUUGGAGGGGGCGCCGAAGGCUGGGC